rnacentral:rRNA from 1 species
UACGGAGGGAGCUAGCGUUGUUCGGAAUUACUGGGCUUAAAGCGCACGUAGGCGGCUUUGUAAGUCAGAGGUGAAAGCCUGGAGCUCAACUCCAGAACUGCCUUUGAGACUGCAUCGCUCGAAUCCAUGAGAGGUGGGUGGAAUUCCGAGUGUAGAGGUGAAAUUCGUAGAUAUUCGGAAGAACACCAGUGGCGAAGGCGGCUCACUGGACCAGUAUUGACGCUGAGGUGCGAAAGCGUGGGGAGCGAACAGG